GGCAGUGGUAGCACAGUGGUUAAGGCGUUGCUCCAUUGCUCAGAAGGUUGUGAGUUCAAACCCCAGUACUGCCA